CAGAUAUCAGUCCCCCUACAUGGGAGAGGCCAGAAGGCCCUGGGGAAGAGUUUUUCCCAGACGCCGAAACUAAUAGGAUAUCUAACAUAUCUGAAUCUACACAACUUGCAAACCGGGAAGAAUUGGGGGAUAAAACAGUAACGAGUACAUAGAGAGCUCGGCAAAAGCAAAUGCAAGGCAAUCACGAAAUCCAGAGAAAACGAAAAGUUACAGCAGAAGGAAAAAUUAAUCAUGGCUCAUCCGUGAAUAGUAGUUAACUGUUACCCGAAACUUCGAAAAUUACUCUAACCCAGAAGAAGUCACAACUGGGAGGAUGAAGGGCCAGAAAGUCUAGGGCGCCAAGGGUGAAGAGACCGGAAGUGGAGGGGUGAAGGGUGAAGGAGACAGGAAGUCUAAGGGGGUGGAAAGUGAUGAGAUGAUGGGUGCGUGUGUGUGUGUGUGUGUGUGUGUGUGUGUGUGUGUGUGUAGGAGACCAGAAGUGGAGGGGUGAAGGGUGAAGAGUGAAGGAGACCGGAAGCGUAAGGGGGUGGAAGGUGAGAGGUGAAGGAGACCGGAAGUAAAGGGGGUGAAAGGUGUACGAAGACAGGAAGUGUCAGGCGGUGAAGAGUGAAAAAUGUAGAAGAGCCAAAUUGUCACGGGCUAUCCUCAGUUGCAAACACCCAGAGUGGAAAAAGCUAGAAAUAUAAGCCUGUUGUUUGGUGAUAGGGAGAGAGGGAGACCCCGAGGAGUCGACUGGAUGUGCCGUGUGCGGCGGCCGGGCCUACUCGCCACCCUCGGGAGGGCCCCCAGCGAGCCUGGAGGACGGAACCCCCGCAAUCACCGCUCAGGUGGUAGAAAACGGGGCCCCGGAAGCUUGAGGAAGCUCGUUGCAGCCCAGCCCCCCGGGGAGACACUGAGUCCAUCAGAUUUCCCGUCUGCCACCCUCGACUGGUCAUCGGUGGCCCGUCAGGCCACGGGGCCCCCCUGCAACCGUAAGGACGCAGGGAGAGGUGGGCGAGUGCGGAGGGCCUGGCUCCCCUGGUGCUCCUCCGAGCCCACCAGCAGGACUUUCUCUUCCCCCACCCAAGGGGGCCCACUGUGCUUUUCGUAGAUCAGGAAAACCGAGGCUCGGGGAGGUGGAUUCGUGUCCUGCGGCUGCCGUCACAUGUCACCACAAACUUAGCAGUUUAGAAGCACAGAGACAUAUUCUCUCUCCGAGGCUGACAUCAGGAUGGCAGGGCCAUGCUCCCGCCGGAGGCUCCAGGGGCGAGGCUCCUCCGUGCCUCUUGUAGCUUCUGGUGGCUGCCGGCUCUCCUUGGCUCGUGGUCACGGUCACUGCAGUCUGCAAGGCCGGCAUCUACACGUCCGUCUCAGCUCCACCUUCGUGGUGCCUCCUGCCCUGGGUGUGCGUCAGGCCCCCCCCCCCCUCCCCCCCCACCCCGCCUCUCUCUUCUGAGGACAUUUGUGAUUACAUUUGGGGCCGCCAGAUAUAACCCGGGACAGGCUCUCCAUUGUCAGGAUCCUUAAUUUAGUCCCAACAGCAAAGGCCCUUUUCCAAAUAAGGUAACAUUUGCAGUUCACACUCGUUAGGACCUGGUGUUCUUUGGGAGCCUCUGUCAGUCCCCGAUGGGGAGUCCGUAACUUGCUCAAUGUCACACAGCGGAUUAAGUGGUGAGGCUAAACCCCAGUCUGCCAGCCAGACUGAAAACCCCCUGCUCUUAAUACAUUCUUAUUCCCUUGUGCUCCGGAAGUUUCUUUGGUUUCUUCUUUUUCAAUGUUUAUUUGUUUUUGAGAGAGAGAGACAGAGAGAGAGAGAGAGAA